rnacentral:rRNA from 1 species
UACGUAGGGUGCGAGCGUUGUCCGGAAUUAUUGGGCGUAAAGGGCUCGUAGGCGGUUUGUCGCGUCGGGAGUGAAAACCAUGGGCUUAACUCAUGGCUUGCUUCCGAUACGGGCAGACUAGAGGCAUGCAGGGGAGAACGGAAUUCCUGGUGUAGCGGUGAAUGACGCAGAUAUCAGGAGGAACACCGGUGGCGAAGGCGGUUCUCUGGGCAUGUCCUGACGCUGAGGAGCGAAAGUGUGGGGAGCGAACAGG